rnacentral:rRNA from 1 species
UACGAAGGGGGCUAGCGUUGCUCGGAAUUACUGGGCGUAAAGCGCACGUAGGCGGCUUUCUAAGUCGGGGGUGAAAUCCUGGAGCUCAACUCCAGAACUGCCUUCGAUACUGGAAAGCUCGAGUCCGGGAGAGGUGAGUGGAACUGCGAGUGUAGAGGUGAAAUUCGUAGAUAUUCGCAAGAACACCAGUGGCGAAGGCGGCACUCUGGGCCGGUACUGACGCUGAGGAGCGAAAGCGUGGGGAGCGAACAGG